rnacentral:tRNA from 1 species
GAGGUUAUAGCUCAGUGGUAGAGUACAUGCUUAGCAUGCAUGAGGUCAUGAGUUUGAUCCCCAGUACCUCCA